AAGAGGACUUAGGGUUCCUGAAUAGUGACUAUGAGAACACAAGCCCUCUUCUCCCUCGAUUAGACUCCACGACAGCGGCUUCUUCUCCUACUUUGAUCAAUCAUCGCAGUGUUGCCGUGCUUUCUUCUUCACCUGUUUAUAUUCUUCUUUUUUCACAACAACAACAAAAAACUUACCCUCUCUUCUUCGCCUUAAACUUAAUUGUGCUUCCUCUCUCUCAUGGCCUCUCUCUAUUACACUCCCUUCACCAUCGAACAACAACAAUGAUACCUCCCCUAUUUGUGUCUUUCUCACAGGAGUCAACAACAGCACAAUUAUCAAACUCACGUUCUCACGUGAUUUCACCUCUCAUCUUCUAUUCGUGA